rnacentral:rRNA from 1 species
GUAGGUGGCAAGCGUUGUCCGGGAAUUAUUGGGGCGUAAAGCGCGCGCAGGCGGUCCUUUAAGGUCUGAUGUGAAAGCCCACGGGCUCAACCGUGGAGGGUCAUUGGAAACUGGGGGACUUGAGUACAGAAGAGGAAAGCGGAAUUCCACGUGUAGCGGUGAAAUGCGUAGAGAUGUGGAGGAACACCAGUGGCGAAGGCGGCUUUCUGGUCUGUAACUGACGCUGAGGCGCGAAAGCGUGGGGAGCAAACAGGAUUAGAUACCCUGGUAGUCCACGCCGUAAACGAUGAGUGCUAAGUGUUAGGGGGUUUCCGCCCCUUAGUGCUGCAGCUAACGCAUUAAGCACUCCGCCUGGGGAGUACGGCCGCAAAGGCUGA